rnacentral:lncRNA from 1 species
CGGCCAAAAGGGAGUUCUUAUAUUGGCAGUGUAUCAUGAUUAAAGUUAUCCUCCCUCUUUCUCUCCCUCCCACAUAUAUAUUUUCGUGUCAGUAUAUGUAUAUGUGAUUUGUGCCAUUUGUGUGUGUGUAGGUAAAUGAAAGUGGCAUCAAGAGAAUCUCACGUUAAAAAAAAUUUGAGAUAGUACAAUUCUUAUGCAUCAUAUGUUGCAUAAUGUUUGACUAUUAAGAAAUUUGCAUCACACGUCUACUUAUUUCAUUAAACAUGUUACAGUCAAUUAAUUUACUUACACCCUCCAUUUCCUUCUUCCCCCUCUCUCGUUCUCCUGUUGCAGGGUCAUUAUACGUUCCUACUCACAAAAUGUCCUUGUUUUUUCCCUUACUCCUGUCAUUGAUCUUCUGAAUCUUUCCGGCGAACUUAACAUGGAUGUUUUGAUAGAAAGCUCUGGCAUUAACUCUGGAGUUGUUUUGCAAGGAAGGUUGUUCGCUUUUUCACCAUUUUUUUUUCAGGUCCUUGAAGUGUUUUCACAUAGAUAUUUCACAAGAGCCAUUUCAGAAUUGAGAACAUUUGGCGUGCACUCUUCCUCUUUUGGUCCCACAGUUUUUAUGUGUCCUACUUGAAAUUAUGUUUGCUCCCGUUUCAAUUGUAAUAUUGCACUUACUCAUUAGUUUUUAGUUUGAACUCUCCUGCGAGGUCUAAUGUAGAGUUUGGACAAGAACACAGAUUCAUAAUAAACCUACCCAGUCAAUUUGGUAUAAAGGCUUAGAAGGUGGAACUGGCCACAUUUUGAAUUGGAGGUAAGGAUCAGGAAUGCUAAUGGAGAGACAUAGGAUUUUCUUAUGGAAACAAGAAACAAAUAACCUCUGGGCAGUAUUAGAGCCCAGAGAGUGAUAAGCCUCUUCUAACUUCAAUAUUCUAUGUACAAAUUCACAAGACUUUUUUUUUUCUUUCUUUUUUUUGAGACGGAGUCUCACUCUGUAGCCCAGGCUGGAGUGCGAUGGCGCGAUCUUGGCUCACCACAAGCUCCCCCUCCCGGGUUCACGCCAUUCUCCUGCCUCUGCCUCGUGAGUAGCUGGAACUACUGGCGCCUGCCACCACAUCCAGCUAAUUUUUUUGUAUUUUUAGUGCAGACUGGGUUUCACCGUGUUAGCCAGGAUGGUCUGGAUCUCCUGACCUUGGGAUCCGCCCGCCUCGGCCUCCGAAAGUGCUGAGAUUACCGGCGUGAGCCACUGUGCCCGGCCGAGACUUUUAAUUAUGCAAUGCCAGACUGCAUUGCAUAAACCAAAGGCCAACAGAGAGGUGACCUUUCAAAUUACUGGCACAAGAAGAGCUGAGAUCAGAAAGCUCCAACUUAAUGCAAACAUCGACAAGAAAUCCGACAGAAAUGACUUCUGUGUCUGGUCAACUUAACAUAACAUGACAUAUUGUCAAGCGCAUUUGGCUUUUUAGGUAGAAUUGUCUAUAAAGGUUUAACUGCUUUAGAAAAUAUAAAUGUGAAGAUUUGUGGUAUUUGGGUUUAUAUAUAAGAUAUUUCUACAUUGAAAAGAGACUGGAAAAGCUUGGUAUAAGAUUUGUAAAAUAUGUUUGUAAUAAUGCUAAUGGAAG